rnacentral:tRNA from 1 species
UAGAGUAUAGCUAAAAAGUAAAGCUUCUCACUUACACCGAGACAACGCUUGUGCAAAUCAAGCUACCCUAA